CCCUUUUCUUCGUGGCUUUAAUUAAAUUUAUCAGUGUAGCUGAGAAUCCUCUUAAGACAAGGUUCCCGCGAGUUUUACAGGGAAGAACUUCCCACGGAUACGUCCAACCCUCUCGCUAAACAAUAUCUUUCACGAUGAUCUCAACUCGCGGUGUCGUCGUUUAUCAAUGAAUGUUACCCGGUAUAUUUCGACCGAAUACGUGCAAACACUGGGAACGAACGUGUACGCGAAAUAUAAUUUGAACACGACAUGCGCCUUUUAUGAUAAAUACUUUAUUCGUAUAGGUAGAUUAAAUUCAAGUAUCGCUGUGCAAAUUUUUCGUUUGCUAAUAUUUAUUCUAUAAAACUGGCAAGUUGCAAAACUCGCAAUAUAGUUUCUUCUAGAAGAAUAGGAGAAACCUGUAAAGGGGAGCUGUGUAGAUACCUAAG
rnacentral:misc_RNA from 1 species